rnacentral:sRNA from 1 species
GCUGGGCGUGGUGGUGCACACCUGUCAUCCCAGUGGCUGGGGAGGCUGAGGCAGGAGGAUCAUGAGUUCAAAGCCAGCCUCAGCAAAAGUGAGGCCCUAAGCAACUCAGUGAGACCCUGUCUCUA